UACGUAGGGUGCAAGCGUUAUCCGGAAUUAUUGGGCGUAAAGAGCUCGUAGGCGGUGUGUCACGUCGGCCGUGAAAAACCUGCAGCUUAACUGUGGGCGUGCGGUCGAUACGGGCAUCACUGGAGUUCGGCAGGGGAGACUGGAAUUCCUGGUGUAGCGGUGAAAUGCGCAGAUAUCAGGAGGAACACCGGUGGCGAAGGCGGGUCUCUGGGCCGAUACUGACGCUGGAGGAGCGAAAGCGUUGGGGAGCAAACAGG
rnacentral:rRNA from 1 species